AUGAGUGGGUGCAUUUUGUUCAUCCAGAGGGACCUCCACAUCACCGAGGUGCAGCAGGAGGUGCUCGUCGGCUGCCUCAGCUUCGUCUCCCUCCUCGGCAGCCUCGCCGGGGGCCGGACCGCCGACGCCCUCGGCCGCAAGCGCACCAUCGGCCUCGCCGCCGCCGUAUUCCAGGCCGGGGCCCUCGUCAUGACGCUCGCGCCGUCCUUCCGCGUGCUCAUGGCCGGCAGGCUGCUGGCCGGCAUCGGCAUCGGCUUCGGCGUCAUGAUCGCGCCCGUCUACAUCGCCGAGAUCUCCCCCGCCGCGUCCCGGGGCUCCUUCACCUCCUUCCCGGAGAUCUUCAUCAACCUCGGCAUCCUCCUCGGCUACAUCUCCAACUACGCCUUCUCGGGCCUGCCCGACCACCUCGGCUGGCGCGUCAUGCUCGCCGUCGGCAUAGUCCCGUCCGUGUCCAUCGUCUUCGCGCUCCUCGUCAUCCCGGAGUCGCCCAGGUGGCUGGUGGUGCAGGGCAGGGCCGCCGAGGCGCGUGAG
rnacentral:rRNA from 1 species